rnacentral:lncRNA from 10 species
UAAUCCUAAUAUAUAUUAUAAUGUAUAUCUUAUAUUUCCUUGCAUUAUGGGUUUUCUUUGCAAAGAGUAGAUACCCUUUUGGGAGGUUCCAAUAAAUCUUAUGAAUAAAUGACUGAAGCUGGCAGCACAAUACCCAGCCCCUGAGGGAGCUCCUAAGCCUUUCAAUUCUCCAGCCCUGAGCUGGUUCUGCCCAGCCGGCACUGUCAAUUUGUGGCCACCUCGCUCCAAGCCAGGUAUUUCCAAAGGUCGUGGACUUGGAAUAACAGGUGCUACUGUUUUGACUUCAGAAAGACAGCCUGGGACCAAAGAAUCCUCCAUAGCUUCAGGGCUGAUGUGGGUGCGUUAAGAAAGUAGGAUUUUGGAUGAGAUCUGUUACAGGGUCCUUUGUCUCUCUUAUAGCAAAGAAAACUGAGAAGAAUUUUAAAAGGCUGCCUUGGUCUCCAGAAUCCCUCUGGAAGCAGAUGGCAUGUCAACAGGUUCCAGGGCAGGCUCCAGAGGCCCCAGACCUGGGAGCCUUAUUGGAAUGUAAUUAACCUAAGUGCUGUCUGUUAGGAUGAAAAGGCAGGAAUGCAAUUAUGGAAGGAGCAUGAGAUCCUUGGAGUUCUCCGCACUCAGAACCUACAAGCUGCCCAGGGGUCUUCCAGACCAGCCCCAGUUGCUUCCAGCCUCCUUCCGCCAGCACAUCUCUGCAGCCUUGGGCCACCGAUCCUAAGCCAAAGCCUCCCCAACCUCUGGGCUCAGAAGCAGGUGUAAUCCCAACUCCAGCAGGGAAUUCCAGAGGUGAAGGUCACGGGAGCAUCUUUAAUCUUCGGUUCCCAGUAGAGAAGAUACCCAAAGAGCAGGGAGCAGGAGCCAGCUCCAGGCUAUACAUUUGUUUAUUCAUCAAUCAUUCAUUUAUGCAUUAAUCAUUCAUUCCCCCCACCCAUCAGUCAUUCAUCUGCUUAUUUAUUCAUUCAAUGUGUUUGUACCUUGUCCUUGCUUUGGUUACCGCAGAUGUUGGUCCUCUC